rnacentral:rRNA from 1 species
UAAUAUGUUUUGCAAAGAAUGUCUUAACUCAAUAGUUGAUGAAGAAUGCAGCAAAAUGCAUUAUGCAUUGUGAAUUGCAGAAUUCCGUGAGCCAAUUGAUGUUUGAAUGUUACUUGAACCUUCAGGAUAUGCUUGA